rnacentral:rRNA from 1 species
GGGCCCGCACAAGCGGUGGAGCAUGUGGUUUAAUUCGAUGAUACGCGAGGAACCUUACCAGGGCUUAAAUGUAGUGGGACAGGUCUAGAGAUAGACCCUUCUUCGGACUCAUUACAAGGUGCUGCAUGGUUGUCGUCAGCUCGUGCCGUGAGGUGUCAGGUUAAGUCCUGCAACGAGCGCAACCCCUAUUCUUAGUUGCCAGCGGUUCGGCCGGGGACUCUAAGAAGACUGCCAGCGCAAGCUGAGAGGAAGGUGGGGAUGACGUCAAAUCAUCACGGCCCUUACGUCCUGGCUACACACGUGCUACAAUGGCCGGUACAGAGGGCAGCCACACCGCAAGGUGGAGCG